CAUUUUUUAAAAAAUUAAUAUCUGGCAACACUUAAGUACGGAUCUAAAAACCUGGAAGUGGGUAUUUACUUCUUAUCUUCGAAGUCUUUUCAAAAUGCCAAAACACGAGCCUCUGACACCUAAAGCCAUUGCCAAUCGAAUCAAAGCUAAAGGUCUACAAAAAUUGCGAUGGUACUGCCAGAUGUGUCAAAAACAAUGCAGAGAUGAGAACGGCUUUAAAUGUCAUACAACUUCAGAAUCUCAUCAGCGACAGUUACUACUAUUUGCUGAAAAUCCUUAUAAAUACAUAGACAGAUUUUCAAAAGAGUUUUUAGACACAUUUAUUGAAUUACUCAGUAGAAGAUUUGGUACUAAAAGAGUACAUGCAAAUCAGGUAUAUCAGGAAUAUAUUUCAGACCGACAUCAUCUUCACAUGAAUGCUACAAGAUGGGAAACAUUAACAGAUUUUGUUAAAUGGCUAGGAAGAGAAGGACAUUGCGUAGUUGAUUAUACUGAUAAAGGAUGGUUUAUUAGCUACAUAGAUCGAGAUCCUGAAACAAUAAGAAGACAAGAAGCUUUAGCAAAAAAAGAAAAAAUGAAUUUAGAUGAUGAAGAGAGGAUAGCAAAAUUUAUAGAAAAGCAGAUAGAGAGAGAUAAAGGGAGCACGAAAGAUGAUGAUGAUGAUGCUAGUUAUUCUGAGCUAAAGAGAGAUAGCGAAGGAGAGAAAGUGGCAUUUUCAUUAACUGAAAAAAUUAAAGAAAAGACAAUACCCAAGGCAAAACCGCUUAGUAAGUUAAUAUCAAAACCAUCGUCAUCUAAUAAUAAUAAUGAUGAACAAAACAAACAGAGUAAUGAGGCAAAAAAGCGAAAGAAUGUCUUGGAUGAAAUUAUUGAAGAACAAGAAAAAAGAAAAGAAAAAAUUAAUAGAAAAGAUCACUGGCUUGCACCAGGAAUUAUUGUAAAAGUGAUAACAAAGAAAAUGUCAGAUAAAUACUACAAAAAGAAAGGUGUCAUAACAGACAUAAAAAAUCAAUAUGUGGGUAUAGUUAAAAUGUUAGAUGGAGGAGAUGUUUUAAAAUUGGAUCAAGUGCACUUAGAAACUGUAAUUCCAGCAUUUGGAAAACAAGUUUUAAUACUGAACGGAGCAUACAGAGGAUGCGAAGGAAUACUUCAGAGUAUUCAGCAAGAUAAAUUUUGUGCUACUAUAAAAAUUUCAUCCGGACCCUCGAGAGGCAGAGUCGUUGAAGGAAUUGCAUACGAAGACUUUUCGAAGUUACAUACUUCAUAACAUUUACUUUUACGUACGUAGGAAUAUUGUAAAUACGACAUUAGGGAAGAACGAAUUCCAAAUUAUUAUGUGAUGUAGUCCAUGAAACUG
rnacentral:misc_RNA from 1 species